rfam:Epilithonimonas sp. FH1 contig01, whole genome shotgun sequence.
GGGGUUGACUGGUUUCGACAGCAAGGCCAAUGGGUAAGUAAGCAUGCAGAGAACCGUAGCGCGAUCUCUUAAAUCCCUUGCUACAAACUUUUAACUGGCAACGAAGAGUUCGCUCUUGCAGCUUAAUCCGAAGUUUAGUAGGAUCCAGCGCUUUCCCGAAGAUAGUAAGGAAGCAAGAUGUCUCACAAACGCUCUGUUCUGCGGCGUUUGAUCCUGGGGCAUAGCAAUGCAGAAAUAAGGUUUUGGGCACUUCGACCAAGAUUCGAAAAUCUCAGAAGAUAAGGUUUAGGUUGGGUGUUUGCUCUCUGCCUGGGCUCGAAAAUCAAUAGCGAAAUAAGCAUGUAGAAAUCUUAUGUAUUGCUUGUUUGGACGAGGGUUCGAAUCCCUCCAACUCCACUU